AGUGAACGCUGGCGGCAGGCCUAACACAUGCAAGUCGAACGGAAGCACAGUAAGAGCUCGCCCCUAAGGGUGGCGAGGGGCGGACGGGUGAGGAAUACAUCGGAAUCUACUUUUUCGUGGGGGAUAACGUAGGACAAGUUACGCUAAUACCGAAUAUGACCUACGGGAGAAAGCAGGGGAUCUUCAGACCUUGCGUGAUACAAUGAGCUGAUGUCGGAUUAGCUAGUUGGCGGGGUAAGGGACCACCAAGGCGACGAUCCGUAGCUGGUCUGAGAGGAUGAUCGGCCACACUGGAACUGAGACACGGUCCAGACUCCUACGGGAGGCAGCAGUGGGGAAUAUUCGACAAUGGGCGCAAGCCUGAUCGAGCCAUACCGCGUGGGUGAUGAAGGCCUUCGGGUUGUAAAACUCUUUUAUUGGGGAAGAAAAGCAGCGUGAGAAACCAUCGCUGUUCUGACGGUACCCAAAGAGUAAGCACCGGCUAACUUCGUG
rnacentral:rRNA from 1 species